GGAUCAGUACGCCGGUCGUGCCUUCGGUACGUACUGGUGUCACUGAUUCCUCCCUUCUGACGAACCGUCAUGCCAUUCACUUGGUGUGGCGGGGAAUCAGGACUGUUACUUUGAAAAAAUUAGAGUGUUUAAAGCAGGCUCACGCUUGAAUACAUUAGCAUGGAAUAAUGAAAUAGGACGUUGAUCUUAUUUUGUUGGUUUCUAGGAUUGACGUAAUGAUUAAUAGGGAUAGUUG
rnacentral:rRNA from 1 species